CCUACGGGUGGCAGCAGUGGGGAAUAUUGCACAAUGGGCGCAAGCCUGAUGCAGCCAUGCCGCGUGUGUGAAGAAGGCCUUCGGGUUGUAAAGCACUUUCAGCGGGGAGGAAGGCGUUAAGGUUAAUAACCUUGGCGAUUGACGUUACCCGCUGAAGAAGCACCGGCUAACUCCGUGCCAGCAGCCGCGGUAAUACGGAGGGUGCAAGCGUUAAUCGGAAUUACUGGGCGUAAGGCGCACGCAGGCGGUCUGUCAAGUCGGAUGUGAAAUCCCCGGGCUCAACCUGGGAACUGCAUUCGAAACUGGCAGGCUAGAGUCUUGUAGAGGGGGGUAGAAUUCCAGGUGUAGCGGUGAAAUGCGUAGAGAUCUGGAGGGAUACCGGUGGCGAAGGCGGCCCCCUGGACAAAGACUGACGCUCAGGUGCGAAAGCGUGGGGAGCAAACAGGAUUAAUACCCCGGUAGUC
rnacentral:rRNA from 1 species